rnacentral:rRNA from 1 species
UACGUAGGGUGCGAGCGUUGUCCGGAAUUACUGGGCGUAAAGAGCUCGUAGGUGGUAAGUCGGGUGUGAAAUCCCUCGGCCCAACCGAGGAACUGCGCCCGAGACUGCUUCUCUUGAGUCCCGGAGAGGAAGGUGGAAUUCCCGGUGUAGCGGUGAAAUGCGCAGAUAUCGGGAGGAACACCGGUGGCGAAGGCGGUUCUCUGGGCCUGACCUGACGCUGAGGAGCGAAAGCGUGGGGAGCGAACAGG